rnacentral:tRNA from 1 species
AAAAUCCGUCGACUUUAGAAAUCGUGAGGGUCCCCA